UGGUAAGUCAUGUCUUAAAAUAUGUUAUAGUCAAUGUAAUAAAACUGAAGAAAGCAUAGUUUGUAUUGAUUUUUUUUUUUGGUUUUUAACUAAGUUUACUUGUGGUUUAUUAUUAUUUGUUUCUUUUUGUGUACUAUAUUUUGUUAAUAUUUAUUACAUAGUUUUAAACUCAUGCUUUACAGGAAAAUUGAUUGUUAUUAAUAUUUCUUAUUAAUAUUUAAAUGCGAUUUUGUGUAGUGAUGAAACUAAACCUGCAAGUGAUUGGACAGAACACAAGGCCCCAGAUGGCCGAUCCUACUAUUAUAAUUCAGUUACCAAACAAAGUUCAUGGGAGAAACCUGAUGAGCUCAAAUCUAAAACUGAAAUCCUUUUAGAUCAGUGUCCAUGGAAAGAGUACAAGUCAGAUACAGGUGCUACAUACUAUCAUAACCUCAACACUAAAGAGUCUAGUUGGACAAUUCCUCCAGAACUUGAUGACUUGAAAAAAGAAA